rnacentral:tRNA from 1 species
UCCCUGGUGGCUCAGAUGGUAAAGAAUCUGCCUGCAAUGCAGGAGACCCAGGUUUGAUUCCUGAGUUGGGAA